rnacentral:rRNA from 1 species
AUUGAACGCUGGCGGCAGGCCUGACACAUGCAAGUCGAGCGGCAGCGGGAAAGUAGCUUGCUACUUUUGCCGGCGAGCGGCGGACGGGUGAGUAAUGCCUGGGAAAUUGCCCAGUCGAGGGGGAUAACAGUUGGAAACGACUGCUAAUACCGCAUACGCCCUACGGGGGAAAGCAGGGGAACUUCGGGCCUUGCGCGAUUGGAUAUGCCCAGGUGGGAUUAGCUAGUUGGUGAGGUAAUGGCUCACCAAGGCGCCGAUCCCUAGGUGGUCUGAGAGGAUGAUCAGCCACACUGGAACUGAGACACGGUCCAGACUCCUACGGGAGGCAGCAGUGGGGAAUAUUGCACAAUGGGGGAAACCCUGAUGCAGCCAUGCCGCGUGUGUGAAGAAGGCCUUCGGGUUGUAAAGCACUUUCAGCGAGGAGGAAAGGUCAGUAGCUAAUAUCUGCUGGCUGUGACGUUACUCGCAGAAGAAGCACCGGCUAACUCCGUGCCAGCCGCCGCGGUAAGAC